rnacentral:rRNA from 1 species
GAAGCGGCAACAGCUCAAAUUUGAAAUCUGGCGCAAGCCCGAGUUGUAAUUUGUAGAGGAUGCUUCAGGGCAGCGGCCGGUCUAAGUUCCUUGGAACAGGACGUCAUAGAGGGUGAGAAUCCCGUAUGCGACCGGUUGGCACCCGUCACGUAGCUCCUUCGACGAGUCGAGUUGUUUGGGAAUGCAGCUCUAAAUGGGAGGUAAAUUUCUUCUAAAGCUAAAUACCGGCCAGAGACCGAUAGCGCACAAGUAGAGUGAUCGAAAGAUGAAAAGCACUUUGGAAAGAGAGUUAAAAAGCACGUGAAAUUGUUGAAAGGGAAGCGCAUGCAACCAGACUUGUCGGCGGUGUUCCGCCGGUCUUCUGACCGGUCCAUUCGCCGCCGGCAGGCCAGCAUCAUCUGGGCGCGCCGGACAAAGGCGUGGGGAAUGUAGCUCCUCGGAGUGUUAUAGCCCCGCGCACAAUACGGCGCCGCCCGGGUGAGGUCCGCGCUUCGGCUAGGAUGCUGGCGUAAUGGUUGUCUGCGGCCCGUCUUGAAACACGGACCAAGGAGUCUAACAUCUAUGCGAGUGUUCGGGUGUCAAACCCCUACGCGUAAUGAAAGUGAACGGAGGUGGGAAGCGCAAGCUGCACCAUCGACCGAUCCUGAUGUCUUCGGAUGGAUUUGAGUAAGAGCAUAGCUGUUGGGACCCGAAAGAUGGUGAACUAUGCCUGAAUAGGGUGAAGCCAGAGGAAACUCUGGUGGA